rnacentral:rRNA from 1 species
AUUGAACGCUGGCGGCAGGCCUAACACAUGCAAGUCGAACGAGUGGCGGACGGGUGAGUAAUGUCUGGGCAACUGCCCGAUGGAGGGGGAUAACUACUGGAAACGGUAGCUAAUACCGCAUACCAUCGGUUGAACCCAUAUGGGAUUAGCUAGUAGGUGGGGUACCGGCUAACCUAGGCGACGAUCCCUAGCUGGUCUGAGAGGAUGACCAGCAACACUGGAACUGAGAAACGGCCCAGACUCCUACGGGAGGCAGCAGUGGGGAAUAUUGCACAAGGGGCGCAAGCCUGAUGCAGCCAGGCCGCGUGUAUGAAGAAGGCCUUCGGGUUGGAAAGUACUUUCAGCGGGGAGGCGUUACCCGCAGAAGAAGCACCGGCUAACUCCGUGCCAGCAGCCGCGGUAAUAC